rnacentral:rRNA from 1 species
AACGAACGCUGGCGGCAUGCCUAACACAUGCAAGUCGAACGAGACCUUCGGGUCUAGUGGCGCACGGGUGCGAAACGCGUGGGAACCUGCCCUUAGGUUCGGAAUAACUCCCCGAAAGGGGUGCUAAUACCGGAUAAUGUCUUCGGACCAAAGAUUUAUCGCCUUUGGAUGGGCCCGCGUUGGAUUAGCUAGUUGGUAGGGUAAAAGCCUACCAAGGCGACGAUCCAUAGCUGGUCUGAGAGGAUGAUCAGCCACACUGGGACUGAGACACGGCCCAGACUCCUACGGGAGGCAGCAGUGGGGAAUAUUGGACAAUGGGCGAAAGCCUGAUCCAGCAAUGCCGCGUGAGUGAUGGAGGCCUUAGGGUUGUAAAGCUCUUUUACCCGGGAUGAUAAUGACAGUACCGGGAGAAUAAGCUCCGGCUAACUCCGUG